GUUUGUUUGGUGUGUUGAGUUGGUAGAGCUACUGAUUUGUAAUCAGUGGGUCGGGAGUUCGAGUCUCUCAAUAGGCACCA
rnacentral:tRNA from 1 species